rnacentral:rRNA from 1 species
UACGAAGGGGGCUAGCGUUGCGCGGAAUUACUGGGCGUAAAGGGCGCGCAGGCGGCCUUAGAAGUCAGAUGGGAAAGCCCCGGGCUCAACCUGGGAAUGGCAUUUGAUACUCUGAGGCUGGAGUACGGGAGAGGAGAGUGGAAUUCCCAGUGUAGAGGUGAAAUUCGUAGAUAUUGGGAAGAACACCGGUGGCGAAGGCGGCUCUCUGGACCGUAACUGACGCUGAGGCGCGAAAGCGUGGGGAGCAAACAGG